GAUGAACGCUGGCGGCGUGCUUAACACAUGCAAGUCGAACGGAGUGCCUUUGAAAGAGGAUUCGUCCAAUUGAUAAGGUUACUUAGUGGCGGACGGGUGAGUAACGCGUGAGGAACCUGCCUUUCAGUGGGGGACAACAGUUGGAAACGACUGCUAAUACCGCAUGACGCUUCUUAGGGGCAUCCCUGAGAAGUCAAAGCUUUAUGUGCUGAAAGAUGGCCUCGCGUCUGAUUAGCUAGUUGGUGGGGUAACGGCCCACCAAGGCGACGAUCAGUAGCCGGUCUGAGAGGUUGAUCGGCCACAUUGGGACUGAGACACGGCCCAG
rnacentral:rRNA from 1 species